AGCACGACCAAAUUCUGAAGAAAAUGCAUCCAAUUCAACAAAAAAAUUGUUGGCAAGAAAUCAUCACUGCCAUCAGUUGACAUGAGACACUUGGAGGAAGCACAUUCUGAAGAAAAGGCAUCUACUUUAACAAAGAAAAUUUGUGGCACAAAGAAACCCUCAUUGCCAUCAGUUCAAAACGUACACUCAGAGGAAGAACCUCCUGAAGAAGGGGCAGCCAUUUCUAAAAACAAAAUGGGUGGCAUUAAUAAAUCCUCAUUGCAAUCAAUUAAAAAAGGAAAAUCCAGAAGGCCCUGGUCAAAGACUGAGGGAGACAUUGUUGAAAGCCAUUUCAAAGACUUCCUGAAAGAAAUGAAGAUGCCUGGAAAAGUGCACUGUCAGAGAUGCAUAGAUGAAAAUCAGAUUCUAAGGGAUAAUGACAGAGACUGGA